rnacentral:rRNA from 1 species
GUGCCAGCCGCCGCGGUAAGACAGGGGGUGCAAGCGUUGCUCGGAAUCAUUGGGCGUAAAGCGCACGUAGGCGGUCUCGUAAGUCGGGUGUGAAAGCCCUCAGCCUAACUGAGGAACUGCGCCCGAUACUGCAAGGCUAGAGGAUGGGAGGGGAGAGUGGAAUUCCUGGUGGAGCGGUGAAAUGCGUAGAUAUCAGGAGGAAUACCAGUGGCGAAGGCGACUCUCUGGUCCAUUCCUGACGCUGAGGUGCGAGAGCUAGGGGAGCAAACGGGAUUAGAAACCCGUGUAGUCC